AUUCAACUACCAACCACCCAAUCACUCUCUCUCCUCUUUUCUCAGUCGUAGCGGAUAAGCCCAAUGGCCUCCUCCUCCUCCACCUCAAUUCUCUCACCCACCACCACCACCUCCACCUCCAUAGUCCGCCACCACUCCUCCAAGCUCCCCUUCCCUUACUCCACCAAACCCAUUUCCACUACUUUCUCUAACAACAGACCACUCACCAGACUCCACGUGUCCACCCCGACCAACAAGCCCGCCAACAACACCGCCAACAAGAAACCCACCUCGGAGACCGUCUUCUUCGACGGCGGGGCCCACUACGGCGACCUCGCGGCCAACCUCGUCCUGGGCUUCACUCUCCUCUGGCUGCCCCUAACGUUAGCCGCCGUGUUCCGGGCGUUUUUCCUGAGGUACAGGUUCACCAACCUGCGGGUGACGGUGAUAUCGGGACUGACGGGCCAGGACAGGAGUGACUUCUCGUACAAGGUCAUCAAGGACGUUCAGGUGGUGCCACGUUUCAUCGGCGAGUGGGGUGAUAUUAUCAUCACCCUCAGAGAUGGCACCAAGGUCGAUCUUAGGAGUGUGCCUAAGUUCAGAGAGAUUGCCAAGUAUUGCUUAUCCAUGGCUGAUAAGCCUGCCGUGGUUAAGGAAACAGGAACCAAGGGCUUUUGAUCGAUACGAUUUUAACCUUACUUUUGUAUAAGAAUUCUGAGGUAUGUUAUUAUUAUUUUUUUGUAGAUAAUUAACUACUCUGUUGUACGUCAUCUCUGCUAUUCGAUCAUGAAGAAGUAUUGUCAUCUCUGCUAUAUAAUAUGCUAUUCAAUCUGAAAAUAGAUUGGUGAAAUGCCAUUUGGUUAUGUAGUUUUUAAUGGGUCUUACUGCAACAGUUCAGUGAGGCCCAUUGGGCUUAAAUUGUGCCACACUGCUGUUUAUGUUAAGCCCGAUAACUUGCUCGAUCCUCUCGCGAAAUUUUGUGACUAAGUUGCAAUGGUAUAAGCGCUGCAAGGGAUGGGCAUUGUUAGCCUCGCUUGUAGGGAUGGAGAUGUUUAGAGGAAUACCAAUAAGUGUAAUUUGAACUUUAGAAACAAUGCUCACAGAUGUUUUUGGGUGAACAGGACUGUAAAAACACUAUCAAACAUGCACUUCCAGGACUUCGUUCGCGGCUUUCCAUCAUGAUCCACCCAAUGGGCCUCUAAGCCGUAUAUGGCGGACAAGUUCUUUGUUUUUUACAAGUAUAUGGGGGCGAGUUUCACCCCAUUUUUAACAAGGCGAAAGGUGCAACCAGAUCUUGCCCAUAGUUGGGCCUUGAAAUCGUGGGAAGGCCGAAUUGUGUAGCUUAAAGGCUUUUUUCUGGCCCACCCAGAUGCAGGCGUGUGGGGCUAUACCCACCAAUGACCCAUUGGGCAAUGUCUACUUGUCCCGCAAAUCAAAAUCAAAGAUGUUGCUAUCUGGACCCAAAAUCUUUGUUUGUAAACUUUGUUGAUGGGUCAUUCUAUCACUCACAAUAUUUGUUCUUUUUUGCUUGGUUUAUCUUCUUUUAAAAACAAAAAUUAAAGGUCCAUUUUCUCA